GCGCCCAUAGCUCAGUCGGUAGAGCGGUGGAACGGUGAUCCACCCACAGUACAGGGUUCAAGUCCCGGCGGACGCU